rnacentral:rRNA from 1 species
UAAGUGACGGUUAGGAAAGCGAGCGGCGGAGUGGGUGAGUAACACGUUACGGGGAACCUCGCCCCCAUACGUCGUGGGAUACCACUUAGGAAAACGAGGUGACUAAGUACCGGAAUAAAGAAAGCAGAUCGCAUGAUCAGCUUUUAAAAAGGCGGCGUAAGCUGUCGCUAUGGGAUGGCCCCGCGGUGCAUUAGCUAGUUGGUAAGGUAAAGGCUUACCAAGGCGAUGAUGCAUAGCCGAGUUGAGAGACUGAUCGGCCACAUUGGGACUGAGACACGGCCCAAACUCCUACGGGAGGCAGCAGUAGGGAAUCUUCCACAAUGGACGCAAGUCUGAUGGAGCAACGCCGCGUGAGUGAAGAAGGUUUUCGGAUCGUAAAGCUCUGUUGUUGGUGAAGAAGGAUAGAGGUAGUAACUGGCCUUUAUUUGACGGUAAUCAACCAGAAAGUCACGGCUAACUACGUGCC